UACGGCCAUAUCACGUUAAAACAUCGAUUCUCGUACGAUCACCGAAGUUAAGCAACGUCGAGCCUGGUCAGUAAUUAGAUGAGUGACUGCUUGGGAAUAUCAGGAUCUGUAA